rnacentral:rRNA from 1 species
GUGGGGAAUAUUGGGCAAUGGGCGCAAGCCUGACCCAGCAACGCCGCGUGAGGGAAGAAGGCUUUCGGGUUGUAAACCUCUGUUCUUGGUGACGAAACAAAUGACGGUAGCCAAGGAGGAAGCCCCGGCUAACUACGUGCCAGCAGCCGCGGUAAUACGUAGGGGGCGAGCGUUGUCCGGAAUUACUGGGCGUAAAGGGUGCGUAGGUGGCCUUUUAAGUUGGAUGUGAAAUACCCGGGCUUAACUUGGGGGGUGCAUGCAAAACUGGGAGGCUAGAGUGCAGGAGAGGAAAGCGGAAUUCCUAGUGUAGCGGUGAAAUGCGUAGAUAUUAGGAGGAACACCAGUGGCGAAGGCGGCUUUCUGGACUGUAACUGACACUGAGGCACGAAAGCGUGGGGAGCAAACAGGAUUAGAAACCCGAGUAGUCC